AGUGAACGCUGGCGGUAGGCCUAACACAUGCAAGUCGAACGGCAGCACAGUAAGAGCUUGCUCUUACGGGUGGCGAGUGGCGGACGGGUGAGGAAUACAUCGGAAUCUACUUUUUCGUGGGGGAUAACGUAGGGAAACUUACGCUAAUACCGCAUACGACCUACGGGUGAAAGCAGGGGAUCUUCGGACCUUGCGCGAUUGAAUGAGCCGAUGUCGGAUUAGCUAGUUGGCGGGGUAAAGGCCCACCAAGGCGACGAUCCGUAGCUGGUCUGAGAGGAUGAUCAGCCACACUGGAACUGAGACACGGUCCAGACUCCUACGGGAGGCAGCAGUGGGGAAUAUUGGACAAUGGGCGCAAGCCUGAUCCAGCCAUACCGCGUGGGUGAAGAAGGCCUUCGGGCUGUAAAGCCCUUUUGUUGGGAAAGAAAAGCAGCAGGUUAAUACCCCGCUGCUCUGACGGUACCCAAAGAAUAAGCACCGGCUAGCUUCG
rnacentral:rRNA from 1 species